UUGUAAUGAAAACCUGAAGGGUAUCUUGAAGGUCUUGGAUUCAGCAAAGACUAAGCCCACUGCCUAAAUCUUUGG
rnacentral:lncRNA from 1 species